rnacentral:lncRNA from 1 species
UUGAGUAUUGGAAUCUGAGUUUAAGUGAGUUUUAAUGAAUUUUUGAUGAAUUCAAUACAAGCAAGUAGAUUUCGUUGUAAUUCUUUGGAAUGUAUACUUUACUGAUUGCUAUGAAAUUUCUUAUUUUCAAAAUCACCCAAGUUUCAGAAAAUAUAUAAUAUUGUUAGAGGGCUUUUUGAUUAAGAUCCGGCAUAUGAACACAUGAGAAGGUCUUUCGAAA